UUGCAACUUUUUGCCAACCAAAUCACUGAUUACAUCACAUCUAACCAAAAGCAAAUUUUGGUCAAGCGCACGGCUACGAACAUUACACGUGUACGGAUAGAGCUAAUCUCAACCGCUAAAAUUAGGGUUAGCUUUGCCUCUUUCCUCACAAAACAAAGAACAUGCUUAUUUUCUCCUGAUUUUUCCUUGUCAAAAUCUAAUUUUCUCUCGAUUUUUCUUAGUUACCCUUUCUCUCGUCAAAACACUAAAAAGAAAAUCUAAAAGCCAUACGAUGAGCAUCUACUUGAGUCGAUUAUUUCCAAGAUCUAAUUCAAGUUUUCUCUUAUGUAGUGGAAACGCCUUACAAUCUGAAGUUUUUCGCUUAAGGGACAAAAUGUUCUUGGUGGAUGCAGGGAUUGGGACCCCCAAAAUUUGUAUGCAAGAUGAGCUUACAGGCGUGCCAAUCAACCGAGCCACCAGGUUUGAGAAUAUGGUGGGAUUUAAGGAUCUAGUGGCCCGUGAAUCACUGAUCAGAGAGAAGAUGUUGGAGAGAUUCUUCAUCGAUCUAGUGGCCGGUGAAUCACUGAUCAAAGAGCAAGCAGCCGCCAGGUUUACUGAUUUGGUGGGAUCCACAGAUGUAGUGGCUGGUGAGCCGCUUCUUCUUCUUCCACGAAAAUUCAGACAAGAGCGAGCUUGGAUGGAACUGAACAAGAUUUGGCGAACGAAUACAAAGGUCAAAGGCUUUAUUAUUGAGAAAGUCAGAGGAGGUUAUUCGGUAGCCAUCGCAGGUUUCAUUGCUUUUCUUCCAUUCCGUCCUCUUCAUUUUAAAAAUCAAAGGAUGUUGAAUGAUCGAUUCGCCAUUGAGAGCCUUAACCCCAAAAGGACGCAAUUGGUGGUGUUCUAACAAAAAAUAAAAAUUGUAAUUUUUUUUUUUUUUUUUUUUUUUUUUCUUGUUGAGUUGAAGCUGUUUCUUGGUUGUUUAUUUGUUUGUAGGAUUGUUGAUUUAAUAUUUGUGAUGAAGGAGUAGGUAGAAAUGAUUUUGAUUAAUUGGAAUGUGUUGAUUUUCAUUCAGUGUUGGUUUGAGUUUGAUUUGGAUUAUAGUUAUUAUUUUUGGGUUAAAAUUAUUUUGUCCAAUUCGUGAUGUGGAGAUUGAACAUACACUCACUGGUUUGCGUUUACUGAGAUCAUGUUUCAAUGAGGAACGGCUUGAAAACCCCCGUGAUUCAAUUUUUCAAAGAAAAACUUGCAGACCUUUCAAUUGUAAGAAACGAAGAAAAUGGGCAUUUUGAAGUGCAAUGGAAUGAUAAAGAUGGUAAUUCAUGUAUUUACAAUGCUGAUGGAAGAGAUCUGCAUACUGCUCUGCUGCAUAGGAUGUCCAUUGCUUAUCCUUUUUGCUCUGCUGUUCCAUCUUUUGGUGGCUAGUUCUCAAUCAAAUCUGUUAAAACAAGGGUUCUAGGUGCUGAUAACCUGCAGAUCACAGGCUUUGUAUGUUCUUUCUGUAUUCUUCUUGCCACUAGUUUCUGGAGGAGCCUUGUGAUUCUCAGAUGCUUGGAAUGCAUGAUGCCUUUCGAACUCCUGGGGCUACCAGCCAAAGGCUAUCUAUGGGAAUGACUCGAAAACGUUGAGGCUGCCUAAGCCUGGUGAGAUGCUUCUUUCUGUUCAUAGCUCACCUCUCGGUGUUUACAAGGAGGAGAACAUGGAAGCAAUACAGUGUAUGCAUUUACAUAUGAGAAUCUCUUAUUCUUGUCAUUGAGGUGCACAUGAUUUACAUUGUGUUCUGGAAAUGGAACUACUUUAUCAUUUUGGAUUACAUUAACUACCCUUACUAAACAAAAUUACAUAUGCUUUUAUGUUUCA